UUAUGAAAGUGCAAGUUACUUCCAAAUUUUGCUAAUACCAAAUGCAUGGAAUACUUAGCCCUGAACUACUCUGGUUUCUGGACCACACUGCUUAAAUUUGUUUCUCUGUAUGCCACAGCUCUAAUACAACAAUUUUGGAAAUUCAACGUCUUCUGAACUCUCUCCCUCAAUACUCAUUGCUACAGAUAGAGAAUUCAGUUAAGGUCUUUUUUCGUAAGAAGCUCUUGAGGGUUGAGGGUUCGAAAGACGUUUAGUUUCCAGAAUUUAUGUAGAACCAAUAAAACUCAGUAGUAAAGUAAAAAGGUGACUUCAGAGAUAAGGAUUUGUGUCCAGGGUAUCGCUAUUUCCUCCAUUUCUGGCUUGGAGGUAUUCAAUUUCUAUCAGUCAGUAUUGUAUUCGAUUCUCUCUGUGUUAUGUCAGAAUAAUUCGCCAUUGCAUUACAUGUCUCUAACAAGUUCCGUUAUGAGCUUUACCAAGGUAUAUAUGUUCUUCGGUUAGUCGUAAAAAAUUUGGUUUACAUAUAGGAAUACCGGCAAUUAGUUUAUUGCCGUUAAAAUUAGCCGCUAAAAGUAAAUAUUGUAGUAGCGUUAUUACCGUGUUGUAAUUUGAUUUAAAGUAUAGCUCUACAAUAUUGGCUUCUAAGCCAAAGGUCGGUCCCUACUUAUAUACUUGAAUUUGGCAUAUCACUGAUUCAUAUGGAUUCUUCAACACAGUUUUUUUUUUACUAA